rnacentral:rRNA from 1 species
ACGUAGGUGGCGAGCGUUAUCCGGAUUUACUGGGCGUAAAGCGUGUGCAGGCGGGCGAGCAAGUGGUGUAUGAAAGCUCCAGGCUUAACUGGGAGAGGUCGUUCAAUACUACCGGACUUGAGAGCGAUAGAGGUAAAUGGAAUUCCCGGUGUAGUGGUGAAAUGCGUAGAUAUCAGAAGGAACGUCGGCGGCGAAAGCGACUCUCUAGACCGUAACUGACGCUGAGUGUGCGAAAGCUAGGGGAGCAAACGG